ACGAGUAGGGCUACNCACGUGCUACAAUGGCGUAUACAAAGAGAAGCGACCUCGCGAGAGCAAGCGGAACUCAUAAAGUACGUCGUAGUCCGGAUUGGAGUCUGCAACUCGACUCCAUGAAGUCGGAAUCGCUAGUAAUCGUAGAUCAGAAUGCUACGGUGAAUACGUUCCCGGGCCUUGUACACACCGCCCGUCACACCAUGGGAGUGGGUUGCAAAAGAAGUAGGUAGCUUAACCUUCGGGAGGGCGCUUACCACUUUGUGAUUCAUGACUGGGGUGAAGUCGUAACAAGGUAACCGUAGGGGAACCUGCGGUUGGAUCACCU
rnacentral:rRNA from 1 species